GUGGUAGGAAGCCGAAGGUGACGACCUUCGGGAGCUUGCACAGGUGCUGCAUGGCUGUCGUCAGCUCGUGCCGUGAGAUGUUCGGUAAGUCCGCUAACGAGCGCAACCCGCGUUGUGUGUUACAAGUGUCACACAAUACCGCCGGUAUUAAGUCGGAGGAAGGUGCGGAUGACGUCAAGUCAGCAUGACCUUUAUAUCCAGGGCUACACACACGCUACAAUGGUCGGCACAAUAGGUUGCCAAGUCGUGAGACGGAGCCAAUCCUCCAAAGCCGGCCUCAGUUCAGAUUGCAGGCUGCAACUCGCCUGCAUGAAGUUGGAGUUGCUAGUAAACGCAGGUCAGCUAUACUGCGUUGAAUACGUUCCCGGGGAUU
rnacentral:rRNA from 1 species